rfam:Pseudomonas sp. GM78 PMI35_contig82.82, whole genome shotgun sequence.
AAAACUGUUACCUCAGAUUUUUCACGUAACAGAAGCCGGGGCUUACGGUAACGAAGCCCCG